rnacentral:rRNA from 1 species
AGCGAACGUUAGCGGCAGGCCUAACACAUGCAAGUCGAGCGAGAACGGGGCUUCGGCUCCUAGUAAAGCGGCGGACGGGUGCGUAACACGUGGAUAAUCUGCCCUUCAGUGGGGAAUAACACGCCGAAAGGCGUGCUAAUGCCGCAUGUCACAAUCAAGUUUCCGAACUAGAUUGGAAAAGGGGACGCCCGCAAGGGGUUCUCGCUGGAGGAUGAGUCCGCGGCCCAUCAGCUUGUUGGCGGGGUAAUGGCCCACCAAGGCGAAGACGGGUAGCUGGUCUGAGAGGAUGACCAGCCACACUGGGACUGAGACACGGCCCAGACUCCUACGGGAGGCAGCAGUGAGGAAUAUUGACAAUGGGCGCAAGCCUGAUCCAGCCAUGCCGCGUGCAGGAUGAAGCAUCUAUGGU